rfam:Purpureocillium lilacinum isolate PLFJ-1 scaffold00003, whole genome shotgun sequence.
GCCAAGAUGGCCGAGUGGUUAAGGCGGUGGUUUUAAGCUUUUGUUUCCUGCUUCGACACCACUAUCGAGAGAUUCCAGGGUUCGAACCCCUGUCUUGGCA